rnacentral:rRNA from 1 species
UACGUAGGGUGCAAGCGUUGCCCGGAUUUAUUGGGCGUAAAGGGCGCGUAGGCGGCUCGGCACGUCCGUUGUGAAAUCGCCCGGCUCAACUGGGCGGGGUCAGCGGAUACGGCCGAGCUUGAGCAAGCUAGGGGGCAAUGGAAUUCCCGGUGUAGUGGUGGAAUGCGUAGAUAUCGGGAGGAACACCAGUAGCGAAGGCGACACUCUGGGCCGGUACUGACGCUGAGGAGCGAAAGCGUGGGGAGCAAACAGG